GUAUUUUAAACUGUGAACAUUUACAAUCUUUCCUUUUAAAAAUACAACCAGUCUUUGCCAUCUUCUUCGUGAGCAUACACAGCUAUCUGCUUGUUGCUCAGGUAAGAGACUUAUCAUGGUUUAAGCAGAGACUUUCCAAGGUAUCUGGACUAAUGAGCAAUAAAUUCCACUGAACAUAUGUCUCUAAAAUCUAUAAAUGGAAAUCCCUACAAGUUGGCUUUCUCUUUUCCUUUGCAACAGAUGUUGAACACACCAGCCUCUCCCAUGCCUCAGAACCAGCAACCACUCUCAGCCCUCCCAGAGCUGAUGACAGCCAGGGCAGACUCCGUGACAUCUGCCAUGUAGCCUCUCACAGAAGGCACAGUGGGGGUAGGGGUAUGAAUUAUGGCUGUGUAACCAGCAACACUUUUUGUCACCACUGACUCUCCAGAGCACUUGUACCCUGAUGGUGUUGCUAUGCCCUACUGGGGGCAGCAGGACAGAUAGGCCAUUCCCUCGCUCCUUUAUGUUAUACAAUUAAUGCUUUCCUUAAAUAUUAAGAAGUCUUGUGUUCAGAGAUCUUCCAUCUUCGUCUUCUUCAGCUGCUCUGAUGAAGUGCCCCAGCUGGAAUGAUUUCAACAACAGGAGCAUCGUGCCUUUGAGCUGGUUAUUCAUUUCUCUAGGCCCCAGUCGUGUCGCGUCUACAAGGGAAAAGGAGUCAAAAUCAAGUGAGCUAAAGACCAUCUUUCGACUGGAUUGUUGGAAGAGCUACCAGACAAGACCUAAUGACCACGACUGAGACUUGGAAGGUCUCAUCACUGAGUUGUGGGCCUUCUGUGCCUACUGGAGAGCUGGGAGAACUGGAUAAUGGGAAGGAGACAGAUAAGCCCACUGUGUGGGUGGACUUUAAGGUUUCCUAUGUUCAGGAUACUGCCCAGUGUCUCAGUUAACUUCUUGUUGCCUGCAAGAUGUAGGACUCUCAGUUACUUCUCCAGGGCCAUGUCUGCCUGCGCACCA